rnacentral:rRNA from 1 species
AUUGAACGCUGGCGGCAGGCCUAACACAUGCAAGUCGAGCGAGCGGCGGACGGGUGAGUAAUGUAUGGGGACUGCCCGGUAGAGGGGGAUGACUACUGGAAACGGUGGCUAAUACCGCAUACUAUCGGAUAACCCAUAUGGGAUUAGCUAGUAGGUGGGGUAAAGGCUCACCUAGGCGACGAUCGCUAGCUGGUCUGAGAGGCUGAUCAGCCACACUGGGACUGAGACACGGCCCAGACUCCUACGGAGGCAGCAGUGGGGAAUAUUGCACAGUGGGGGCAAGCCUGAUGCAGCCGUGCCGCGUGUAUGAAGAAGGCCUUAGGGGUGUAAAGUACUUUCAGCGGGGAUGCGGUACCCGCAGAAGAAGCACCGGCUAACUCCGUUCCAGCAGCCGCGGUAAUAC